rnacentral:rRNA from 1 species
UACGUAGGGUGCGAGCGUUGUCCGGAAUUAUUGGGCGUAAAGAGCUCGUAGGCGGUGUGUCACGUCGGCCGUGAAAACCUGCAGCUUAACUGUGGCGUGCGGUCGAUACGGGCAUCACUGGAGUUCGGCAGGGGAGACUGGAAUUCCUGGUGUAGCGGUGAAUGCGCAGAUAUCAGGAGGAACACCCGGUGGCGAAGGCGGGUCUCUGGGCCGAUACUGACGCUGAGGAGCGAAAGCGUGGGAGCGAACAGG